rnacentral:rRNA from 1 species
CACUCCUACGGGAGGCAGCAGUGGGGAAUAUUGGACAAUGGGCGCAAGCCUGAUCCAGCCAUGCCGCGUGAGUGAUGAAGGCCCUAGGGUUGUAAAGCUCUUUCACCGGUGAAGAUAAUGACGGUAACCGGAGAAGAAGCCCCGGCUAACUUCGUGCCAGCAGCCGCGGUAAUACGAAGGGGGCUAGCGUUGUUCGGAUUUACUGGGCGUAAAGCGCACGUAGGCGGACUAUUAAGUCAGGGGUGAAAUCCCGGGGCUCAACCCCGGAACUGCCUUUGAUACUGGUAGUCUUGAGUUCGAGAGAGGUGAGUGGAAUUCCGAGUGUAGAGGUGAAAUUCGUAGAUAUUCGGAGGAACACCAGUGGCGAAGGCGGCUCACUGGCUCGAUACUGACGCUGAGGUGCGAAAGCGUGGGGAGCAAACAGGAUUAGAUACCCGAGUAGUCCCA